UGGGGAAUAUUGCACAAUGGGCGCAAGCCUGAUGCAGCCAUGCCGCGUGUGUGAAGAAGGCCUUCGGGUUGUAAAGCACUUUCAGCGAGGAGGAAGGCGUUAAGGUUAAUAACCUUAGCGAUUGACGUUACUCGCAGAAGAAGCACCGGCUAACUCCGUGCCAGCAGCCGCGGUAAUACGGAGGGUGCAAGCGUUAAUCGGAAUUACUGGGCGUAAAGCGCACGCAGGCGGUUUGUUAAGUCAGAUGUGAAAUCCCCGAGCUUAACUUGGGAACUGCAUUUGAAACUGGCAAGCUAGAGUCUUGUAGAGGGGGGUAGAAUUCC
rnacentral:rRNA from 1 species